AGAGUUGGGGUUUGUUGGCUGUGCUGUGAAGAAGGAGUCAGUGCUGUGGGGAGAUCCCCAUGAGAAAUCACCGAGAAGGUAACUGAACUAUAACUUUGCCAUUUCACUCUGAUGUAAGUUCAUUGGGAUAAGAUGGCUUGAGAAGGAGUGUUUCUGGGCCUCGUUUCAGCGGGGCGCUGUGCACCAACCCACCCCAGCCCUAGAGCAAUGGGGCCGGCUCCUUCCCGUCUGCCCCAUGCUUGUCUUCUCCUACAACUCAAAGAUGCUGCUGCACGGCACCUUCAGGAUAAAAGGACUUCUGAGCAUCAUGGAAGCUAUCUGUUUGCAUGUACAUCCUGUCACCAAGCCACGGCCCCGCGCGCUUGCACACAUUUCCCUGGGCCUGGCAGAAAUAAUCAGCGUACAAGAGGGAGGGGAAGAACCCCUAGGCUUCCUCUGGAUCAACAUCAGUGCACACGUUCCUGCUGCUUUGGCAACACAUGGGUGCACCUCACAGAGGACUUUCUGCACAGCAGCAGCACUUGGAUUCUGACAGAUAAAGGUUUCAGUAGUGCCAGCAUAUACAAAUACAGCUUUUCACACAUUGAUAAUGUCAUGUAAUUUAAAUGUCUAGAAGUGCAGCUAUUAAAGUGACUUUUAUUUACUCUUUUGCUGCAGCUACUUUACUGAUUUUAUUCACAAAACUCCUAGAUAGUGAGAUUUCCACCAGGUUGGGUUUUUAAUGGAAAUCAUGACAAUUUUUUUCAGCCUUCUCAUGAGAAUUUCAUCUUGAAUUUGGAAUUUUAAAUAAAUACAUCAAUAAGU